AACGAACGCUGGCGGCAGGCCUAACACAUGCAAGUCGAGCGGACCCUUCGGGGUUAGCGUCGUACGGGUGAGUAACGCGUGGGAACGUGCCCUUUUCUUCGGAAUAUCCCUUGUAAACUGGGAGUAAUACCGGAUACGCCCUUUUGGGGAAAGAUUUAUCGGCGAAGGAUCGGCCCGCGUUGGAUUAGGUAGUUGGUGGGGUAAUGGCCUACCAAGCCGACGAUCCAUAGCUGGUUUGAGAGGAUGAUCAGCCACACUGGGACUGAGACACGGCCCAGACUCCUACGGGAGGCAGCAGUGGGGAAUAUUAGAAAAUGGGGGAAAACCUGAUAUAGCCAUGCCGCGUGAGCGAUGAAGGCCUUAGGGUUGUAAAGCUCUUUAAACGGGGAAGAUAAUGACGGUACCCGGAGAAGAAGCCCCGGCUAACUACGUG
rnacentral:rRNA from 1 species